GGCCUCAAUCAUCAGAAUAGGAAGGUUCAAGAGGGUCUCAGUGAUCACAUGAUACAUGAUGCAAAUGUCCCUACCAGAUAGGAGGUCUUAUCUGCCACUCCUACGGACAAACAGUUUGGUUACCAUGUGAUGUAAAAGCCUCAUUUCAACAGAAAUAAUUUUUGCUUCUAAUUUAUUCAAACUUUCAGUAAAAGUUCUCCCUAAGAUAACAUUAAUUCCUUCUUCU
rnacentral:lncRNA from 1 species